CGGGUCGAGCUUCUGAGCUCUGAACCGUGGCUGCCCCGGCGGUGGGCGAGCUGAGGUGAUCCCAGGACGACCCGUGGGGUGGGCCGACCGGGGAGCCUCCAGCCGCUGGCGGGGAGUGUAGGCCACCGAGGGACCGGCCCCUGGAUCCAGCCAGAGAGGUGCCUCAGCUAAGUAAGAAGUCAAACCUGAAGUCCUGCAGCUGACUCAUGGAGUAAUGGAUGUGUAUUGUCUCUGAUUCUAACGCACAUCACAAGAAGGGACCUGUUCCUUUCCGACACAGCAAUUCCAAGAUAAAAUCCGAUCACUGAAUUACUCAGCACCUGCAAUCACGUGUGCACCCAAGGCAGGGGAGCAAAUAGUGAGAGUCCACUGGAAAACUGCUCUCCCAGUUGUUACUGGGAGGUCCCGCCAAACCAAGUCCUUUCAUUCUUCCCAUUGGCGGCCUCAAUGCCUACGCUUUUAGACUCAUCUGGUCACUUCCGUCUAAGGACGUCAGGUAGCAUCCCAGCCCAAAACUUGUGCCGUGAAAUCCAAGACUGUGACCCAGAUAAUGUAAUAGGAUCUUCCUAUGAUUUGGGGCCAUAUCCUACUUAGAUGAACUUGGGACAUCCAGCCUUACCAAGCACUUGGAACUACACACAGGCUCCGUGCUUGCUUGGUAUAGGUUACCAUGCCAUCUCUGCCUCAAGAUGGGGGGAUCAUCUCCCCUGGAGCUGAAUACAGAAUUACCUUAUCACUGCACAAUGAAAAGGAAAGUCAGAAAAAAGAAAAAGAAGGGAAUUAUUACAGCGAAUGUUGCUGGAACAAAGUUUGAAAUUGUUCGUUUAGUAAUAGAUGAGAUGGGAUUUAUCAAAACUCCUGAUGAAGACGAGACGAGCAACCUUAUCUGGUGCGAUGCUGCUGUUCAGCAGGAGAAGAUUACGGACCUGCAGAACUACCAGAGAAUCAACCAUUUUCCAGGAAUGGGGGAGAUCUGUAGGAAGGAUUUCUUAGCAAG
rnacentral:lncRNA from 1 species